CUCGUAGGCGGCCAACUAAGUCAGACGUGAAAUCCCUCGGCUUAACCGGGGAACUGCGUCUGAUACUGGAUGGCUUGAGUGUAGGAGAGGGAUGCGGAAUUCCAGGUGUAGCGGUGAAAUGCGUAGAUAUCUGGAGGAACACCGGUGGCGAAGGCGGCAUCCUGGACUACUACUGACGCUGAGUGAGCGAAAGCCAGGGGAGCAAACG
rnacentral:rRNA from 1 species